UUAUUUUGAGGAUUUGAUCCUGGUCCAGGAUGAACGCUGGCGGCGUGGAUAAGGCAUGCAAGUCGAACGCCGAGCACAUAACGCAAGUUAUGUGCUUGGAGUGGCGAAUUGGUUAGUAACACGUAGAUAAUCUUCUCCCGCCACGGCCAUAACUCGGAGAAAUCCGAGCUAAUAGCCGAUGGUUUCUAUUUGUCGCAAGACGGAUAGAAUAAAUGGUCACCGCAAGGUGGCCGGGCGGGAAUGAGUCUGCGGCCUAUCAGCUAGUUGGUGAGGUAAUGGCCCACCAAGGCAAUGACGGGUAGGGGGAAUGAGAGUUCGAUCCCCAACAAAGAUACUGAGACAUGGAUCUUACUCCUACGGGAGGCAGCAGUCGAGAAUAUUCGGCAAUGGGGGAAACCCUGACCGAGCGACGCCGCGUGCGGGAAGAAGCCCUUUGGGGUGUAAACCGCUUUUCUGAGGGAAGAAUCCGCAAGGAUGACGGUACCUCAGGAAUAAGGGGAUGCAAAUUCUGUGCCAGCAGCCGCGGUAAGACAGAAUCCCCAAGCGUUAUCCGGAUUUAUUGGGCGUAAAGCGUCUGUAGGUGGCUGGACAAGUCUCUAAUUAAACCUCAAGGGCUCAACCUUUGAGCUGUUGGAGAUACUAUCUAGCUAGAGGAUGUUAGGGGCUGACGGAACGGUCGGUGUAGGAGUGAAAUCCAUUGAUAUCGACCGGAACACCAAAAGCGAAGGCAGUCAGCUGGGACAAUCCUGACACUGAGAGACGAAAGCGUGGGGAGCAAAAAGGAUUAGAUACCCUUGUAGUCCACGCUGUAAACGAUGGAUACUGGCUACUUGAAGUGUCGACCCUUCAAGUGGCGAAGCUAACGCGUUAAGUAUCCCGCCUGGGAAGUACGGCCGCAAGGCUAAAACUCAAAGGAAUAGACGGGGACUCACACAAGCGGUGGAUCAUGUGGCUUAAUUCGACAAUAAACGAGGAACCUUACCAAGGUUAGAAACUCUAGCGGACAGCCUGCAGAAAAGUAGGCUUUCUCACAAGGACCGCUAGGGCAGGUACUGCAUGGUUGUCGUCAGCAGGUGCCGUGAGGCGCUCCCUUAAAUGGGUAAACCUGCGCAACCCUUACUCGAUGUUUUAAAUGUCAUCGAGAACUGCCCGGGAUAACUGGGAGGAAGGCGAGGAUGACGCCAAAUCAGCAUGGUCCUUUGAUACCUUGGGCUGCACACAUGAUACAAUGGCGAGGACAAUGGGUUGCCAAGCCGAAAGGCGGAGCUAAUCCCAACAAACCUCGUCUCAGUCCGGAUUGAGGGCUGCAACUCGCCCUCAUGAAGCCGGAAUCGCUAGUAAUCGCCAAUCAGAUAUGUGGCGAUGAAUACGUUCCUGAGUCUUGUACUCACCGCCCGUCACGUCAAGCGAGCUGGGAGUACCCGAAGCGUCCCGCUUUUAGCGGGAAACUAAGGUAAGCUCAGUAAGAGGGACGAAGUCGUAACAAGGCACGCGUAGCGGAAGCUGUGCGUGGAUCAUCACAUUUU
rnacentral:rRNA from 1 species